rnacentral:lncRNA from 1 species
AUUCACACAAGGAAAUCAAAAUCAACAGUAAAAGGAAAUGUAAUUUUCACAAGCUUCUUGAACCCAACCUUGCGAGUUGCGACGACAGCGAACCCAACCUUGCGGUGGCGAACCCAGCCGAGACCCGAGAGUUGUUUGACUUGCUUGCGGCUUGCCGGACAGCAGAACUGCGGAAGGCGGAAGGCGGAAGGCAGCAGCAGCAGCGGCGGCACAGCUAGGGUUUGUCUUGUUUGGGUAAAUCACGAUUUGUGUGUUUGAGUUGUGAAAUAGAAUUAGGUUUUUUUUUUAUGUUUAUAUUUAUAUUUACUAAUAAAUAUAAUUAAAAAUAAUAUAAAAA